AGAGUUGAUCAUGGCUCAGAACGAACGCUGGCGGCGCGUUUAAGCAUGCAAGUCGAGCGGCAAGGGCCUUCGGGCCCCUAGAGCGGCGGACGGGUGAGUAACACGUGGACAAUCUGCCCCCCGGCCCGGGAUAGCCCAGGGAAACCUGGAUUAAUACCGGAUGAGACGGGACCCGCGAUGGCGGGAUCCGGGAAAGGCGCUGCGGCGCCGCCGGGGGAUGAGUCUGCGUCCCAUUAGCUAGACGGCGGGGUAACGGCCCACCGUGGCGACGAUGGGUAGCCGGCCUGAGAGGGUGGACGGCCACAUUGGAACUGAGACACGGUCCAGACUCCUACGGGAGGCAGCAGCUAAGAAUCUUCCGCAAUGGGCGAAAGCCUGACGGAGCGACGCCGCCGUGAACGAAGAAGGCCGUGAGGUUGUAAAGUUCUUUUCGGGAGGGGGAACAACCGUGGCAGGGAAUGGCCGCGGGAUGACGUGAAUCCCGGAAUAAGCCCCGGCUAACUACGUGCCAGCAGCAGC
rnacentral:rRNA from 1 species